GGAGGAAAGUAGGGGAUCGAAAGACCUUAUGCUUUUGGAGCGGCCGAUGUCUGAUUAGCUAGUUGGUAAGGUAAUGGCUUACCAAGGCAACGAUCAGUAGUUGGUCUGAGAGGACGACCAGCCACACUGGGACUGAGACACGGCCCAGACUCCUACGGGAGGCAGCAGUGGGGAAUUUUGGACAAUGGGCGCAAGCCUGAUCCAGCAAUGCCGCGUGAGUGAAAAAGGCCUUCGGGUUGUAAAGCUCUUUCAGUUGAGAAGAAAAGAUUGUGACUAAUAAUUGCAAUUCAUGACGGUAUCAACAGAAGAAGCACCGGCUAACUACGUGCCAGCAGCCGCGGUAAUACGUAGGGUGCGAGCGUUAAUCGGAAUUACUGGGCGUAAAGGGUGCGCAGGCGGUUCUGUAAGUCAGAUGUGAAAUCCCCGGGCUUAACCUGGGAACUGCGUUUGAAACUACAAAGCUAGA
rnacentral:rRNA from 1 species